AACUCAUCCAGAGAGAGGGAGGGACUGACCCUAAGAACUCUCGGCAACCGCUUAUGAUAAGCAAGGUGCCAAUUUCAGAAGCAUAGAUAUGCUUAAAGAUGAGAA
rfam:Gracilibacillus kekensis strain CGMCC 1.10681 genome assembly, contig: Ga0079828_101